rnacentral:rRNA from 1 species
GACGAACGCUGGCGGCGUGCUUAACACAUGCAAGUCGAACGGAAAGGCCCUGCUUUUGUGGGGUGCUCGAGUGGCGAACGGGUGAGUAACACGUGAGUAACCUGCCCUUGACUUUGGGAUAACUUCAGGAAACUGGGGCUAAUACCGGAUAGGAGCUCCUGCUGCAUGGUGGGGGUUGGAAAGUUUCGGCGGUUGGGGCUGGACUCGCGGCUUAUCAGCUUGAUGGUGGGGUAGUGGCUUACCAAGGCUUUGACGGGUAGCCGGCCUGAGAGGGUGACCGGCCACAUUGGGACUGAGAGACGGCCCAGACUCCUACGGGAGGCAGCAGUGGGGAAUAUGGCACAAUGGGCGGAAGCCUGAUGCAGCAACGCCGCGUGCGGGAUGACGGCCUUCGGGUUGUAAACCGCUUUCGCCUGUGACGAAGCGUGAGUGACGGUAAUGGGUAAAGAAGCACCGGCUAACUACGUG